UGCAUGAGCUAUCUGUGGUUCUCAGGACCCUGCUUAUAUCAGUAAAAAUGGCUUUGCACUGCAGCCUUCCAGAAAAUUUUGCCUCUUAGAAGUCCUGUUACCAGAAGGCCUCCAGAGGCACCAACACAGACAGAAAUAGCUCCUUAACAUCUUUGUUCCAGAAGAGAAGAAUAAAUAAUGGAGCUUGUAAUCCACAGAGCUCUCUAGUAUGGAGUUACAUGGGAAAAGAUGGUCCAAUCCCAACAGAUGCUUACUGCAGAACUGCGUGGUGUAUUUAGAAUAUUCUACCUCAGAGGUUUCCCAUUUCUUCAACUGAGAGAAAGAGGAUUACAGUUUGAAGACAGAACUCCCAUUAUAAAAUAAACUGUGAAACAAUGCAGAAUUUAAAAGAAUGUAACUGCAGAUUCAGGGGUCAAAGUCCUGAUGCGCAAUGGCAGUGGUACUACCAGGAAACGAUGAAGUCAGACAGAGCAGUGGAAAUGGAGCACCAGUCCUGGAGUUAGAACGUUUACUUACAAAGGAGGAGAGAGUGUAUGUCUCCAACAUCCCCGGGAGAGAUGCCUCGAGGAUGAAAAAUGUAUACUGUCCUUGCAGAAUACCGGAGUUCAGUUCCCAGCACCCAUGCCAGGUGGUUCACAGCUGUCUGUGACUCCAGUUGUGGGGAAUUUGAAACCUUCUUCUGCUCUAUGAAGGCACUCUGCUCUUGUACAGAAACCUAUUUCUGGA